rnacentral:rRNA from 1 species
GAUGAACGCUGGCGGCGUGCCUAAUACAUGCAAGUAGAACGCUGAAGGAGGAGCUUGCUCUUCUGGAUGAGUUGCGAACGGGUGAGUAACGCGUAGGUAACCUGCCUGGUAGCGGGGGAUAACUAUUGGAAACGAUAGCUAAUACCGCAUGACAACAGUUAUUGCAUGAUAACUGUUUAAAAGGGGCAACUGCUCCACUACCAGAUGGACCUGCGUUGUAUUAGCUAGUUGGUGAGGUAACGGCUCACCAAGGCGACGAUACAUAACCGACCUGAGAGGGUGAUCGGCCACACUGGGACUGAGACACGGCCCAGACUCCUACGGGAGGCAGCAGUAGGGAAUCUUCGGCAAUGGACGGAAGUCUGACCGAGCAACGCCGCGUGAGUGAAGAAGGUUUUCGGAUCGUAAAGCUCUGUUGUAAGAGAAGAACGAGUGUGAGAGUGGAAAGUUCACACUGUGACGGUAUCUUACCAGAAAGGGACGGCUAACUACGUG